rnacentral:rRNA from 1 species
GAUGAACGCUGGCGGCGUGCUUAACACAUGCAAGUCGAACGGGAAACCUUUUAUUGACGCUUCGGCAGAUUUAGCUGGUUUCUAGUGGCGGACGGGUGAGUAACGCGUGGGUAACCUGCCUUAUACAGGGGAUUACAACCAAAAAUGGUUUGUAAUUCCGGCUACACGGACCGGGCCGGAAUGUUCCGGUGGGAAAACUCCGGUGGGAUAAGAUGGACCCGCGUUGGAUUAGCUUGGUGGCAGGGUAAAGGCCUACCAAGGCGGCGAUGCAUAGCCGGCCUGAGAGGGGGAACGGCCACAUUGGGACUGAGACACGGCCCAGACUCCUACGGGAGGCAGCAGUGGGGAAUAUUGCACAAUGGGGGAAACCCUGAUGCAGCGACGCCGCGUGAAGGAAGAAGUAUCUCGGUAUGUAAACUUCUAUCAGCAGGGAAGAUAGUGACGGUACCUGACUAAGAAGCCCCGGCUAACUACGUG